rnacentral:misc_RNA from 1 species
GCACUGCAAAAUGUAACCCUGAUCGAACAAAGGAUAGAAAAAUUUUAGUUCUUGCCUGCCAUAGAAUGCAGCCCAAUGGAGAGCUGUCCAUCCAGUCACAUCACGGAAAUUGAUACUAACUCCUGCAGUCAAGAUAGCUUUUAUAGCCCAGUCAUAACCGAGAGCAGUUGCUAAAUGAAGCACACCUUGCCCAACAUCAUCCAAGACACUUGGCCCUUUGCC